rfam:Oryza brachyantha chromosome 7, whole genome shotgun sequence.
GUCUUUUCGGAGACACCCGAUAAAAUUGGAACGACAUGGCCCUGCGCAAGGAUGACACGCACAAAUCGAGAAAUGGUUCAAAUUUUU